rnacentral:rRNA from 1 species
CCUACGGGUGGCAGCAGUGGGGAAUAUUGGGCAAUGGGCGCAAGCCUGACCCAGCAACGCCGCGUGAAGGAAGAAGGCUUUCGGGUUGUAAACUUCUUUUCUCAGGGACGAAGCAAGUGACGGUACCUGAGGAAUAAGCCACGGCUAACUACGUGCCAGCAGCCGCGGUAAUACGUAGGUGGCAAGCGUUAUCCGGAUUUACUGGGUGUAAAGGGCGUGUAGGCGGGACUGCAAGUCAGAUGUGAAAACCAUGGGCUCAACCUAUGGCCUGCAUUUGAAAAUGUAGUUCUUGAGUACUGGAGAGGCAGACGGGAUUUCCAGGGUAGCGGGGGAAUGCGUAGAUAAUAGGAGGGACACCAGUGGCGAAGGCGGGCUGCUGGACAGCAACUGACGCUGAGGCGCGAAAGCGUGGGGAGCAAACAGGAUUAGAUACCCCAGUAGUC